GGGUUGUGAGGUUAAGCGACUAAGCGUACACGGUGGAUGCCCUGGCAGUCAGAGGCGAUGAAGGACGUGCUAAUCUGCGAUAAGCGUCGGUAAGGUGAUAUGAACCGUUAUAACCGGCGAUUUCCGAAUGGGGAAACCCAGUGUGAUUCGUCACACUAUCAUUAACUGAAUCCAUAGGUUAAUGAGGCGAACCGGGGGAACUGAAACAUCUAAGUACCCCGAGGAAAAGAAAUCAACCGAGAUUCCCCCAGUAGCGGCGAGCGAACGGGGAGCAGCCCAGAGCCUGAAUCAGUGUGUGUGUUAGUGGAAGCGUCUGGAAAGGCGCGCGAUACAGGGUGACAGCCCCGUACACAAAAAUGCACAUGCUGUGAGCUCGAUGAGUAGGGCGGGACACGUGGUAUCCUGUCUGAAUAUGGGGGGACCAUCCUCCAAGGCUAAAUACUCCUGACUGACCGAUAGUGAACCAGUACCGUGAGGGAAAGGCGAAAAGAACCCCGGCGAGGGGAGUGAAAAAGAACCUGAAACCGUGUACGUACAAGCAGUGGGAGCACGCUUCGGCGUGUGACUGCGUACCUUUUGUAUAAUGGGUCAGCGACUUAUAUUCUGUAGCAAGGUUAACCGAAUAGGGGAGCCGAAGGGAAACCGAGUCUUAACUGGGCGUUAAGUUGCAGGGUAUAGACCCGAAACCCGGUGAUCUAGCCAUGGGCAGGUUGAAGGUUGGGUAACACUAACUGGAGGACCGAACCGACUAAUGUUGAAAAAUUAGCGGAUGACUUGUGGCUGGGGGUGAAAGGCCAAUCAAACCGGGAGAUAGCUGGUUCUCCCCGAAAGCUAUUUAGGUAGCGCCUCGUGAAUUCAUCUCCGGGGGUAGAGCACUGUUUCGGCAAGGGGGUCAUCCCGACUUACCAACCCGAUGCAAACUGCGAAUACCGGAGAAUGUUAUCACGGGAGACACACGGCGGGUGCUAACGUCCGUCGUGAAGAGGGAAACAACCCAGACCGCCAGCUAAGGUCCCAAAGUCAUGGUUAAGUGGGAAACGAUGUGGGAAGGCCCAGACAGCCAGGAUGUUGGCUUAGAAGCAGCCAUCAUUUAAAGAAAGCGUAAUAGCUCACUGGUCGAGUCGGCCUGCGCGGAAGAUGUAACGGGGCUAAACCAUGCACCGAAGCUGCGGCAGCGACGCUUAUGCGUUGUUGGGUAGGGGAGCGUUCUGUAAGCCUGUGAAGGUGUGCUGUGAGGCAUGCUGGAGGUAUCAGAAGUGCGAAUGCUGACAUAAGUAACGAUAAAGCGGGUGAAAAGCCCGCUCGCCGGAAGACCAAGGGUUCCUGUCCAACGUUAAUCGGGGCAGGGUGAGUCGACCCCUAAGGCGAGGCCGAAAGGCGUAGUCGAUGGGAAACAGGUUAAUAUUCCUGUACUUGGUGUUACUGCGAAGGGGGGACGGAGAAGGCUAUGUUGGCCGGGCGACGGUUGUCCCGGUUUAAGCGUGUAGGCUGGUUUUCCAGGCAAAUCCGGAAAAUCAAGGCUGAGGCGUGAUGACGAGGCACUACGGUGCUGAAGCAACAAAUGCCCUGCUUCCAGGAAAAGCCUCUAAGCAUCAGGUAACAUCAAAUCGUACCCCAAACCGACACAGGUGGUCAGGUAGAGAAUACCAAGGCGCUUGAGAGAACUCGGGUGAAGGAACUAGGCAAAAUGGUGCCGUAACUUCGNNNNNGCCCGGUGCCGGAAGGUUAAUUGAUGGGGUCAGCGAAAGCGAAGCUCUUGAUCGAAGCCCCGGUAAACGGCGGCCGUAACUAUAACGGUCCUAAGGUAGCGAAAUUCCUUGUCGGGUAAGUUCCGACCUGCACGAAUGGCGUAAUGAUGGCCAGGCUGUCUCCACCCGAGACUCAGUGAAAUUGAACUCGCUGUGAAGAUGCAGUGUACCCGCGGCAAGACGGAAAGACCCCGUGAACCUUUACUAUAGCUUGACACUGAACAUUGAGCCUUGAUGUGUAGGAUAGGUGGGAGGCUUUGAAGUGUGGACGCCAGUCUGCAUGGAGCCGACCUUGAAAUACCACCCUUUAAUGUUUGAUGUUCUAACGUUGACCCGUAAUCCGGGUUGCGGACAGUGUCUGGUGGGUAGUUUGACUGGGGCGGUCUCCUCCUAAAGAGUAACGGAGGAGCACGAAGGUUGGCUAAUCCUGGUCGGACAUCAGGAGGUUAGUGCAAUGGCAUAAGCCAGCUUGACUGCGAGCGUGACGGCGCGAGCAGGUGCGAAAGCAGGUCAUAGUGAUCCGGUGGUUCUGAAUGGAAGGGCCAUCGCUCAACGGAUAAAAGGUACUCCGGGGAUAACAGGCUGAUACCGCCCAAGAGUUCAUAUCGACGGCGGUGUUUGGCACCUCGAUGUCGGCUCAUCACAUCCUGGGGCUGAAGUAGGUCCCAAGGGUAUGGCUGUUCGCCAUUUAAAGUGGUACGCGAGCUGGGUUUAGAACGUCGUGAGACAGUUCGGUCCCUAUCUGCCGUGGGCGCUGGAGAACUGAGGGGGGCUGCUCCUAGUACGAGAGGACCGGAGUGGACGCAUCACUGGUGUUCGGGUUGUCAUGCCAAUGGCACUGCCCGGUAGCUAAAUGCGGAAGAGAUAAGUGCUGAAAGCAUCUAAGCACGAAACUUGCCCCGAGAUGAGUUCUCCCUGAC
rnacentral:rRNA from 1 species